UACGUAGGCAGCGAGCGUUUGUUCGGAGUUACUGGGCGUAAAGCGUGCGUAGGCGGUUUUGUAAGUCUGAUGUGAAAUCCCCGGGCUCAACCUGGGAAUUGCAUUGGAGACUGCAAGGCUAGAAUCUGGCAGAGGGGGGUAGAAUUCCACGUGUAGCAGUGAAAUGCGUAGAUAUGUGGAGGAACACCGAUGGCGAAGGCAGCCCCCUGGGUCAAGAUUGACGCUCAUGCACGAAAGCGUGGGGAGCAAACAGG
rnacentral:rRNA from 1 species